rnacentral:rRNA from 1 species
AACCCAUGCAAGUCGAGCGGAUGACGGGAGCUUGCUCCUUGAUUCAGCGGCGGACGGGUGAGUAAUGCCUAGGAAUCUGCCUGGUAGUGGGGGACAACGUUUCGAAAGGAACGCUAAUACCGCAUACGUCCUACGGGAGAAAGCAGGGGACCUUCGGGCCUUGCGCUAUCAGAUGAGCCUAGGUCGGAUUAGCUAGUUGGUGGGGUAAUGGCUCACCAAGGCGACGAUCCGUAACUGGUCUGAGAGGAUGAUCAGUCACACUGGAACUGAGACACGGUCCAGACUCCUACGGGAGGCAGCAGUGGGGAAUAUUGGACAAUGGGCGAAAGCCUGAUCCAGCCAUGCCGCGUGUGUGAAAAAGGUCUUCGGAUUGUAAAGCACUUUAAGUUGGGAGGAAGGGCAGUAAGUUAAUACCUUGCUGUUUUGACGUUACCGACAGAAUAAGCACCGGCUAACUCUGUGCCAGCAGCCGCGGUAAUACAGAGGGUGCAAGCGUUAAUCGGAAUUACUGGGCGUAAAACGCGCGUAAGUGGUUUGUUAAAGUUCCAUGUGAAAUCCCCG